rnacentral:rRNA from 1 species
UACGUAGGGUGCAGGCGUUAAUCGGAAUUACUGGGCGUAAAGCGUGCGCAGGCGUCUAUUAAGACAGGUGUGAAAUCCCCGGGCUUAACCUGGGAACUGCAUCCGAUACUGGAUGGCUUGAAUCCGGGAGAGGGAUGCAGAAUUCCAGGUGUAGCGGUGAAAUGCGUAGAUAUCAGGAGGAACACCGGUGGCGAAGGCGGUUCUCUGGGCCUUACCUGACGCUGAGGAGCGAAAGCGUGGGGAGCGAACAGG